AACGAACGCUGGCGGCGUGCCUAACACAUGCAAGUCGAACGGAUUGAAGGGGCUUGCUCCUUCAGUUAGUGGCGCACGGGUGAGUAACGCGUAGAUAAUCUGCCUGAUGAUCUGGGAUAACAGUUCGAAAGGACUGCUAAUACCGGAUAAGCCCACGUGGUCUUUGGACCGUGCGGGAAAAGGGGGGGACCUUCGGGCCUUCUGUCAUCAGUUGGGUGUGCGUACCAUUAGCUAGUUGGUAGGGUAAUGGCCUACCAAGGCUACGAUGGUUAGCUGGUUUGAGAGAAUGAUCAGCCACACUGGAACUGAGACACGGUCCAGACUCCUACGGGAGGCAGCAGUGGGGAAUUUUGCGCAAUGGGCGAAAGCCUGACGCAGCAACGCCGCGUGAGUGAUGAAGGCUUUCGGGUCGUAAAGCUCUGUCGAGGGGAAAGAAGUGUAUUGUGGUUAAUACCCGCGAUACUUGACGGUACCCCUAAAGGAAGCACCGGCUAACUCCGUGCCAGCAGCCGCCGUAAUAC
rnacentral:rRNA from 1 species